rnacentral:rRNA from 1 species
CCACGGGAGGCAGCAGUGGGGAAUAUUGGACAAUGGGCGAAAGCCUGAUCCAGCCAUGCCGCGUGUGUGAAGAAGGCCUUCGGGUUGUAAAGCACUUUCAGUGGGGAAGAAAGCCUUGGGGCUAAUACCCUCGAGGAAGGACAUCACCCACAGAAGAAGCACCGGCUAACUCCGUGCCAGCAGCCGCGGUAAUACGGAGGGUGCGAGCGUUAAUCGGAAUUACUGGGCGUAAAGCGCGCGUAGGCGGUCUGAUAAGCCGGUUGUGAAAGCCCCGGGCUCAACCUGGGAACGGCAUCCGGAACUGUCAGGCUAGAGUGCAGGAGAGGAAGGUAGAAUUCCCGGUGUAGCGGUGAAAUGCGUAGAGAUCGGGAGGAAUACCAGUGGCGAAGGCGGCCUUCUGGACUGACACUGACGCUGAGGUGCGAAAGCGUGGGUAGCAAACAGGAUUAGAUACCCGUGUAGUC